ACCCAAGUCGACCUACACAUACUCUCUCAGUCAAUAAUUCAGUAGAGCUCUCGUAUAGAGAGAGUAAAGACAGGAGUGUUGCUCCGUGCGUGGUGUGAAAUGCCGACUACCUGUGUUGCAUUUGGGUGCAAUGAACAAGCGAACAAAAAAUCUGAUCCAUCCAUUACAUUUCACCAGCUACCAAAGGACCCGAGCAGAAGAAAGGAAUGGCUUGCAGCUAUACGAAGAGACAACUACACCCCAGGCAAACAGGCACGGCUCUGCUCCAAGCACUUUAGACCUGAUGAUUUCGACAGGACGUCCUUGUGUUACGUGAGGCUGCGAGAUGGUGUUGUUCCCAGCAUAUUUGAGGCUUUCCCUUCACACUUACAGAAAAAAACAAGCAAAAGGAAACCUCCCAAAUCUCGCCCUCUCUGUGAUCCUGCCCCACAAGAAGCGCAAGAUAGUGGACAUUCUACUUUAGCUGUGCCGGAAAAUCCUGUGCAAACAAACUCAGGUGAGUCACCAACCAAAGCCCAGCUAAAGAGGAAGCUGGGAGAAACAGAAACACAACUCGUGAAGUCUAGAAAAAAAUUAAACUGUUGCAUCAGAAAACAAGACGACUCAAGAAAAAAAAUGCCGAAUUGUGUUCUGUGAUCAGUGCAUUGAAACAAAAAAACCUAGUAAGUGAAAAUAGUUUGACAGUUUUAGAGUCAUGUGCUGGCAUAAAAGCAGAGUUCUAGAGGCUGUUGUAACUGAUGAAAACAAGGAAUCUGAGGUGGGCAGCAAAAGCUUAGCUUCUGCCUGUGUUCUUUCUCCUUACUCUGACAAAAUCGUUAGCUAUAUAGCCGGGUUUGUCAGUUUAAAGCUUAAGAGAUUUUUAAAUUGUGAGUCGUGUUGUAAUGCUCUAUUUAGCCAUCAUCUGGAUGCGACUCACGGAUUAAUCUCAGUUAAAAAUAAAGGCCACCUCUCUUUUCCAUCCAGAGAUGUUGUUGCCAUUUGCCUUGUGUGUGAAAGGAAAUUCAGAGAGAAAGUGUUACUGUGUAGUGACCAACCAUAUGCAAAGCUGUCAACACAUGCUUGGCACAACAUUGUAACACUUGUACUGUCUGAGUUCCAGGAGAGGAUUGUCUUCUCCAGCCUGGCACAACACAUGUUAGACAGUGAGCCUGUCACUAAUCAUCUCCUGUUACUAAUCAAGGCUGUAGCCGAGACCUAUCUGCAGGUCAGGUACAGAUAUGCAGCCAGACAGUUUACUGCAAGACUGAUUUCCCGUAAAGGGGUCAAAAGUAGAACCACGAUGAACAAAUUAGUAUUAUUUAGUGGAAUGUGAUUAUGUAUAUAAUCUAUAAUAUCUAGUUAUAAGGACAUGUUGGCAUACAAUAUAUGGGUAGCAGUAA